ACACGAUGGUUAUCGUGAUGAGUGUCCACACAGAUUGAUUCGGUUUAGAUUUGAGCAUUAAGUGGGGCUAUAGCUCAGCUGGGAGAGCGCUUGCAUGGCAUGCAAGAGGUCUGCGGUUCGAUCCCGCAUAGCUCCACCAUCUUUAAGCGUUUUCGCUGAGAAUGUUUAAAAAUGGUUUUCAUCAGAAAAUCUUGCUCUUUAACAAUUUGGAAAGCUGACAAAACAACAAUUUAUUGUUGUUUGUAAAGUUCUCAAUGUUUAUCGAAAGAUAAACACCAACAACACAUUCAAGUGUGCUUGGUAUCGAAUAAGACUUCGGUCUUGUUCAAAUUUGAGUCCGGCAAAAUCUGUCUCGCACUCAUGUAAAUUAAACGCGAGACAACUUAGGUUGUUUAAACAGCAACCCGAAACUCCUUCGGGUUGUAU
rnacentral:tRNA from 3 species